rnacentral:rRNA from 1 species
AGAAGUCAGUGGCACAUUGAAUAUAUACCAGUUCCAGAUGGUUCACUAAAGUUAAGCAACGUUGCGCGUGGUUAGUAUCCGGAUGGGUGACCAUCUGGGCAAUCACGUGCUGCUUUUC